UGAUAAAACAUUAAAACAUUGUGUGUCCAUGUGUUGUAGAUGAAACCAAGGUGCAGAGGUUUCAGCAUGGUGACGUAGACAUCCUCCAGGAUGAAGAUAUCAAACAAAUCACUGAUGCGAUCACUCAGGGAGGUGGACCAGGGAUCACCACCAUAACUAGAGUAAUCAAACCAGGGGUCCAGGUUGUUGAAAGUAAGGUCUAAUAAAUCAAAUGAUGAUAUGAUGUGAGUUAUGUUUUGCUUAGAUGUUUGUGUCAUUGACUUCUGCUUUUGCUUGAAGCUGAACCAGGGCUCACCACAUUUACUAGAGUAAUUAAGAAAGACCCUCAGAUCAUUAAAGGUGAGACACAAUAUAUCAAACAGUGGUAAGAUGCAGUUUAAAUUUUCAAACCAAAUCAAAUAUUCAUCUUUUUGUAUUCAAAGGUGCACCAGAUGGGGAAACCACUGUUACCAGAGUAGUUCGGCCAGAACUGCAGAUAAUUGAAGGACCAGAUUUUUCAAAGAUUGUAUCUUUCAAGGACACUCCAGACCUGCUUGAAACAGAAUCGGAGAGAAUCACCAGAAUCAUCAAGGGUUAGUGCUUUCACAACUGUGUGAAUAAUAUGUGGAUGGAUCUAAUGGCCAAGGUUUAAUUGAAUUAUUUUUCUCCUCAGAGGGCCGUUAUAAAAAACGAGCUG
rnacentral:lncRNA from 1 species